rnacentral:rRNA from 1 species
CCUACGGGGGGCAGCAGUGGGGAAUAUUGGACAAUGGGGGCAACCCUGAUCCAGCCAUGCCGCGUGUGUGAAGAAGGCCCUCGGGUUGUAAAGCACUUUCAGUGAGGAAGAACGCCUGGUGGUUAAUACCCAUCAGGAAAGACAUCACUCACAGAAGAAGCACCGGCUAACUCCGUGCCAGCAGCCGCGGUAAUACGGAGGGUGCGAGCGUUAAUCGGAAUUACUGGGCGUAAAGCGCGCGUAGGUGGCUUGAUAAGCCGGUUGUGAAAGCCCCGGGCUCAACCUGGGAACGGCAUCCGGAACUGUCAAGCUAGAGUGCAGGAGAGGAAGGUAGAAUUCCCGGUGUAGCGGUGAAAUGCGUAGAGAUCGGGAGGAAUACCAGUGGCGAAGGCGGCCUUCUGGACUGACACUGACACUGAGGUGCGGAAGCGUGGGUAGCAAACAGGAUUAGAUACCCGGGUAGUC